AGGGAACCCUACAAACUGACAUCAGGAACCUGGACUGACCAAGAGUUCCAUCUUCCUCCAUCUUGCCUUACGGCAGAGUUGUUCCAGUCCCUCCAUCAUCAUCUUCACAGCCCUUCACUGCUUUCUUCUGAGCUGAGGAGCCCCAGCCUGGAACCAGCCCUAGAGGUGCUCAGCAGUGCUGAGCAGAGGAGAAGGAUCCCCUCCCUUGGCCUGCUGGCUGCACUCUCGAUGCAGCUCAGGAUCCCAGAAGAGUGCAUAUUUUGGCUUAUGGUGACCUUGGUGCUCUCCAGGACCUCCAAAGCCUUUCCUGGCAAAAGCUUUCCAGCCCAGAUAGAAUGGCCCCCAGUAUGCUCUGGUGCCUGCCUGGUAGUGUUCCUCUCCUGGAACAGGACUUUGGGCUUCCCCUUCUUGAACUUGGUGAUGUUCCUGUCAGCCCAUUUCUCAGGCUUGUCAAUGGCAAUAUUAUCCUUCGCCGCUUCCUUCAAAUAUUGUCCCAUAUUUGGCGCUGAUGUUGAAUUGUUCUGAGAAAGAGAACCCCAUAGGACUGUAGAACAAGAAUUUUUGUGGCAGUAACUGCUGUGUGCAAGAGUUUCCAUUUGUCUUUCUCAAUAAAUAUACAAG